CCUGCCAGUAGUCAUAUGCUUGUCUCAAAGAUUAAGCCAUGCAAGUGAAAGUAUAAAUAUUAUACCUUUAAGACUGCGGAUAGCUCAUUAAAUCAGUUAUAGUUUACAUGAUCGUAUCUCAACUACAUGGAUAACUGUAGUAAUUCUAGAGCUAAUACAUGCCAAGACGUCCCAUUUAUUUGGGUAGUACUUAUUAGAUAAAAACCAAUAUUUUUGGUGAAUCAUAGUAAUUUAUUGAAUCGUCAAUCGAUGGGUCAUUCAAAUUUCUGCCCUAUCAGCUGUGAUGUUAGUAUAUGGGACUAACAUGGCUUAAACGGGUAACGGAGGAUUAGGGUCUGAUUCCGGAGAGGGAGCCUGAGAAAUGGCUACCACUUCCAAGGAAGGCAGCAGGCGCGUAAAUUACCCAAUCCCAAAAGGGGGAGGUAGUGACAAGAAAUAACAAUACCGGACUUAUACAAGCCUGGUAAUUGGAAUGAGAACAACUUAAAUUCCUUAGCGAGAAUCUAUUGGAGGGCAAGUCUGGUGCCAGCAGCCGCGGUAAUACCAGCUCCAAAAGCAUAUAUUAACAUUGUUGCGGUUAAAAGGCUCGUAGUCAAACUUGUGAUGUUCCGAUACGUUACCAAGUGUCUAUGACACUACUGUGUUCUGUCGGGGCAUCAUCUUUCUGAACACUACUUCUGCUCUUGAUUGAGUUGGUUGUAGAGUACAGAUCUAUUACUGUGAAUAAAUCAGAGUGUUUAAGGCAGGCUUGACGCCCUGAAUGCUUCAGCAUGGAAUAAUAACAUAUGACUUAAGUUUUAUUUAUUGGCUUUUAAAACAUAAGUAAUGAUUGAAAGGGAUAGUUGGGGGUGCUAGUAUUUGACGGUCAGCGGUGAAAUGCAUAGACCCGUCGAAGACUAUCUUAUGCGAAAGCGUUCACCAAGGAUAUCUUCUUUGAUCAAGAACGAAAGUUGGGGGAUCGAAGACGAUCAGAUACCGUCGUAGUCUCAACCAUAAACUAUGCCAACUGGAUAUUGGCGAUUGUUGAAUUGACCUCGUCAGCCUCCUAUGAGAAAUCAAGAGUUAUUGGGUUCCGGGGGGAGUAUGGUCGCAAGACUGAAACUUAAAGGAAUUGACGGAAGGGCACCACCAGGAGUGGAGCCUGCGGCUUAAUUUGACUCAACACAGGAAAACUUACCAGGUCCGGACAUAGUAAGGAUUGACAGACUGAAGUUCUUUCUUGAUUCUAUGGGUGGUGGUGCAUGGCCGUUCUUAGUUGGUGGAGUGAUUUGUCUGGUUAAUUCCGUUAACGAACGAGACCACAGCCUCUAAUUACUUCGGCAUGAGUUCUUCAUGUUUGAGGUCCUAGAGGGACUGUCGGUGAUCAACCGACGGAAGUGUGUGGCAAUAACAGGUCUGUGAUGCCCUUAGAUGUUCUGGACCGCACGCGUGCUACAAUGGGACCCAUAGUAGGUAGCCCUAGUCCGACAGGACCGGGCAAUCCCCCAAUGGGUUACUUGGUUAGGCUUGACGCUUGCAAUUAUUCGUCACAAAUCAGGAAUUCCUCGUAAGCACGAAGCAUGGCUUUGUACUGAAUACGUCCCUGCCCUUUGUACACACCGCCCGUCGCUCCUACCGAUUGAAUGUUCCGGUGAGCUCUCUGGAGUACUGGUCUCUGUUAGUAAUAACUUUGACUAUGGACGAAGUUGCGCAAACCUUAACAUUUAGA
rnacentral:rRNA from 1 species